UACAGAGACUGCAAGCGUUAUUCGGAUUCACUGGGCGUAAAGGGUGCGCAGGCGGCCAAGUGUGUGAGGCGUGAAAGCCCGGGGCUUAACCCCGGAAUUGCACCUCAAACUACAUGGCUAGAGCAUUGGAGAGGGUAGCGGAAUUCACGGUGUAGCAGUGAAAUGCGUAGAUAUCGGGGGGAACACCGGUGGCGAAGGCGGCGACCUGGGUAGAUACUGACGCUGAGGCGCGAAAGCGUGGGGAGCAAACAGG
rnacentral:rRNA from 1 species